rnacentral:tRNA from 1 species
GCAAUGGUGGUUCAGUGGUAGACUUCUCACCUUCCAUGUGGGAGACCCAGGUUUGGUUCUUGGCCAAUGUG